CAGAAAACCAGUGGCAAUGGCUUGGAAAUGCACGGAAGCACAUAAUCUUGCAAAUCAAGCUGCUAAUGGAAACUGGGGUGCCAUCCAAGGUAGAUCCUCAGUCACUGGUGCUUUUGUCCUAAACUGGUUAUUUUGGAUUGCAAAUGUGAGGCAGUGAUCAGCUGGUUUUCUGUCAUCACCUGAAGGAGCCACUCUGUGGAUGCUGAAGUGCACUCAGAACACAGGAGAACAGUCACCACGAGUUACAGGGAGACCUCAGAUCAGUGUCCUGCUCAGGAAGAAAAGAAAGAGGUUCUGAUCAGAGGAAGUUGACAGCUUGUCCUUAAAAUUAGACAUGCCCUUGAGGAAACCACACAGAGAUCACAGUUUUCAUCAGCUCCAGAGAUGUAGUAGUUGCUAGAGGGGUCAUUUACUUAAGUGGUUGGUACUUUCU
rnacentral:lncRNA from 1 species